CCUACGGGUGGCAGCAGUGAGGAAUAUUGGUCAAUGGGCGUAAGCCUGAACCAGCCAAGUCGCGUGAGGGAUGAAGGUUCUAUGGAUCGUAAACCUCUUUUAUAAGGGAAUAAAGUGCGGGACGUGUCCCGUUUUGUAUGUACCUCAUGAAUAAGGAUCGGCUAACUCCGUGCCAGCAGCCGCGGUAAUACGGAGGAUCCGAGCGUUAUCCGGAUUUAUUGGGUUUAAAGGGUGCGUAGGCGGCCUUUUAAGUCAGCGGGGAAAGUCUGUGGCGCAACCAUAGAAUUGCCGUUGAAACUGGGAGGCUUGAGUAUGUUUGAGGCAGGCGGAAGGCGUGGUGUAGCGGUGAAAUGCUUAGAUAUCACGCAGAACCCCGAUUGCGAAGGCAGCCUGCCAAGCCAUGACUGACGCUGAUGCACGAAAGCGUGGGGAUCAAACAGGAUUAGAUACCCGUGUAGUC
rnacentral:rRNA from 1 species